rnacentral:ncRNA from 2 species
GUCCCCCCGGCGGGGCGGCGUGGGACAGGCGCUAAGCUGCAAGGGCCUCGUGGGGGAAGUCCGGUCGAAGUCCGGCGCUGACCCGCAACGGUAGGCGGAAUCCCGUACAGGUUUCCGUAAGCCCGAUUACCCGCGGUGGUGAAGCUCCUGUC